ACAGAACGCACGGCUUUUGGACGAGCAUCCAAUUAGUUCGUCGCCGCGGUGGACUAGCAGGCGUCCCCUUCCACCCCUCCGCCCUGCAACGUCCCUCAUCCGUUUGCAAGCACUCUCGACCACCGUGGAACGCGAGCGGCUCGGAGAUUCGCGGUUGCAGAACCGGCGCGGAGCGGCUCCGGCACUGCAGCCUCCCGGGACCGGCACGGAGCGACUCCGCGGUCACCCCAAGCGGUGCCCUGCCAACUUCCCUAGGAGCUACUGAAUGGGCUUUUCCGUCUGUCCCGUCCCGUCCCACCCCCGACCACCGAGCUCCUUCACGUGGCGGUGCCUCACGGCUCCAGCCACCUCGCCACGCGCUGCAGAUGCUGCUCAGCAGUGGAGAGCUGCAUAUCCAGGAAUGCCCCGGAACCCAACUUAGGUGACUGCCCAAGCAGGAGGUCAUUUCUCACUGUGAAAGGCUUUCUAAGGAGCAUGAGAAGCAGCUCUUUGACACCACGAGGCUGAGCAAGCAAAAGGGUGGUUUGAAAUCUUUGAGCAAAAAGAGGGGAAAAAAGCUGGAAGCAUGUUGGCAUCUGUUCUACUUCCUUGCACUGCACACAUCUGUCCGAUUGAUACCAUGUUUUUUCAUCACCUCAGAUGCAGGCUGAAAAAAAAUAUAUAUUUUU
rnacentral:lncRNA from 7 species